UUGUGCUUGAUACUUGUGAUAUCUAAAUAUGUUAGUUGGGUCUGUUUAAAAUGCAGUAACCCACAUGUGAGACAAGCUAAUCGCUAGCGUCGCUAACGGCUACAGUGAGUCAACCGAGCCUUUGUCCCUUUCAAAUGUGCUACUCUGAGUUGGUGCAACCACACACCUGUGUGGGGAACAGCUAAUAGCGAUAGGCCUUCGAUCGGCGACAGGCAGGAAGCGGUGGAUCGAGCUUUUGUCCUGUUGACGUGCUGCCGCUCCUGUUUGUGUGUUGCGUUAGCCGUUAGCAUGCCUUUAGGUCUUUGCACUUUAGAGCUACAGCUGGUCGAUCGCUACAAAAAGAACCUGCAGAUGAACGCGGUUAUGUUUAUUACCCCGUCCUGUGUCAGAGCCUAAAUCAACUUGUGAUUUGGGGUUAUGUCAUUGUUCUAUCAAAUUCUAACAUGAUUAGUUGGAAUGAUUACUGUGUUGUGUUGCAAGCUUAGUUGCUAAUUAGUCACAUCUCUACAAUACCUGCUGCUUAUCUGGUCAGUUACCGAUAGCUUGUACCAUAGCCAUUAUAUUUGUAGGACCAAUACAAUUUACAGUAAAUGUAACAGUCUUUUCUAUACUGUAGGAGGGCAAAUCCCAGUUGCCCACAUGCAAGGAGGCUGUCAAACAGAGAAAUCACUGCAGACUGUUGGUACACAGACAUCUGCUGCCCAGCUCAGGAGUGAAGGUGAUGGUGAGGACAGCCACAGCUUCCAUCUGGUAGAGGACUGCUUCCGCUCAGUCUUCCAAAUAGUGAUGAGAACAAGGAUCACCACAUCUCCCUGUUUACCCUACUUUCAUGCAUUUCGUCUGCAAGGCCCUGCAAAAGCUUCUCCUUCGUCCUCAAACCCCCAGACUUCUUAAUUAACUCAGUAACCUAUACAUUGCACAUUGGAGUGUGAAGGUAACAGUUUGUUCUAGCUUUGGAGUAGUGGUGUAUUUUUUUGGUUUACAAUAAAGUUGGCUUUAACUAUUA